rnacentral:rRNA from 1 species
UACGAAGGGGGCUAGCGUUGUUCGGAAUUACUGGGCGUAAAGCGCGCGCAGGCGGUUCUCCAAGUCAGUGGUGAAAGCCCGGAGCUCAACUCCGGAACUGCCAUUGAAACUGCUGAACUUGAGGACGAGAGAGGUGAGUGGAAUUCCCAGUGUAGAGGUGAAAUUCGUAGAUAUUCGGAAGAACACCAGUGGCGAAGGCGACUUACUGGACACAUAUUGACGCUGAGGUGCGAAAGCGUGGGGAGCAAACAGG